GACGCCGUGACCGACACCCGAACCAGCCAAUCGGCAAUCCAGCUGGCUCCGGGGGCCACGCCCACUCGGCCGUAGGAGGCGAGGUGAAGGUCUGUGCGCCCCCUGCAGACGGAGGAAUGCGGCGUGGGCAGCAGGAAGCUCAGCCGCUGCAGCCAAGGAAGCCGGGGAGUCAUGCUACAACCUGACAGGAGACUCUGAGGAGAGAACUGGCCCAGGGAAAGCCCUGCCUCAUAACCCUCCAGGAAUUCUGGAGCUUGUGAGACAGCUCAGCAGGUAAAGGCAUCGAUGCUCAGACUGGCCACCUGAGUUCAAUCCCCAGGACCCACAGGAUAGGAGAGCACCGAUUCCCAAAGCUAGUCCUGUGACCUCCGAGAGACUGCAUGCACACUCACUCACGAAGGAAGGACAGAAGAAAGAAAGGAAGAAGGAAAAAAGAAGAGAAAUUUUGUGUGAUUUCCAGCCCUUCCCCAUUCCCCCAGCCCUAGACAACCCCUAAAUUACUUCCUGUUUCUAUGGGGGUCACCCAUUCUGGAUAUUAACAUAUAAAUAAAACCUUAUACUAUG